UCUCAAGCUGCCAGCUAAAUGUGGACUUGAUCCAUAUUGGGGCUGGGUAUGGAGUUGAUCCAUACUGGGACUGGGACUUUGCUCCUACAAUAUAAUGUUAUGGAGUUUGCUAUUUUUUCUUCACUUUCCUUUGUGGUGGCCUCCAAUAUAGGUAACUCCAUCUUCUCCAUGGUGAAGAUAAAUGAAAAGAAUUCAUCUAGUGCUGCCAUAUAUCUUCCUAACUGGUUGGUCAGCCUUAAGCAAGCAAGCAGACAGGCAGGUUUCUGUCUGGAAUGGCACAAAAGGGAAGAAAUAGAGAUGAGUAUACCCGUAUCUAUACGAAGCUGCAGCGACCAAAUUCUGGCAGAUACUCAAGCUCCUUAAGAGAACUUACAUUACCAGAUGCUUCUCAAAUAGUAUUCCUGUGAAAUUAAGCACAUCCUGGAGUUUUUGUGUGAUGCAAAGGAUCAGUAGGACCUGUGAGGUUGCAUCUAGUCCUGCUAUCAGAGAGGUGUCGAGCUGUCCUUGGCUGUAUCAGCAGCCUUACCUGUGGGCCAAGAAUUUGGAUGUAUGCGUGAAUAACUUCUCCAAGGAGCAAAGUAAUGACUUGGUUGAAGAGGCUGAUGUUCUUUCUGUGUGCUGGACACAGCAGGAAGAAACCAUGUCCCGCGCUUGGCAUGCACAGCUCUGCAGCUGCUGGCUUCCCUGACAUGCAGUGGAGACGUGGAACACAGUUUCGUUCUCCUCUGAAUGUGUACAGCCUCCCAAAGAGAGUAAUGUGCUGGAACAGUCAGCGGAUGCGCAAUUGAUUGCGUAGGCCACUCUGGUGGAGGCGCGCAUUCAGCUACGAUGGGCAGCGUCUCAGCAAUACCAGUACACUUCAGAGGGAACCUGUGAUUGCUUUUUUGUUUGCUUUUAUUUACUGUUUUUUAAAACAAACCAAACUGAAUUGCAAAGAGAGUCAAGUGGCUCUGUAAAGUGGCUCUCCUAACAUUGCAACUUCGAAAUGGGUUUUGUGCUGUAGCUUCUGCUUGGAAGCUAAUGGUAGGCUUGUUAUUGGUUGAAGUGGAUCACACAAGAAUGUGUGGGAGUGUGCAGGUGACAAAUUUACUGUGUCUUGUAACCACUUAUCACCUGAGCUAUGCUACAUGACCUCAAAGGAUGAAAAUGAUUGUCUUCACGGUUACUUUGAAGUAGGAAGGCAUAUAGUGCAGCUCAGCUGACAAGUGGUUAGUCACAAAGCUGCAGUAGCUUCAUCUUCUCUGUAUAAGCCCCCCCUAUGUCAAAGAUGUUAAGUAUUUCCUGCAGAUCAAUGUCUAUCUUUAUUGUCCUGUGCAUCAUUCCCUCUUUGUUAUACUACUUGGUGAUCAAGAGAAGAGAAAAGGCUAAAUGGACUAAAAGAUGGGAAAGAAGUAAAUAGUCCCUUGCGCUACUUUGAUGAAUCCCAAAGGAGGCAUAUUCUAAUCCAAUUAGCAAAUAUCCUUGCUCUCUACACAGGAAAGUCAAGUCACACAGAGGGUAAAUGGCUCACUUCCAUGACUGAAUGUGUCUGAGAAUGGGUAAUCCAGAGCUUCCGAUGCUUUCCCCCCUACUGGGACUCCUGAAUUACGCAUCUUGUGACAGAAAGAGGCAUUCAAUGGUCUGAUCCAUUGCUGAGUAGCACUAGCACUUCUGAAUGAAUGAAACAGUGGGAAAAUUUUGCUUACUUUAUCCAAGGUGGUCUUGCUGUGGAAACUCUGUUCAUGGCUGGGGAAUUUCUGAUCCAUCUGGGUCAUUCCAAUUAUAUCAAAGCCCCCCCCUCCCCCCCCGAAAAUCAUUUUCCAUAUUUCAGUUUUUAGAUCGUAGGAUAGACAAUUGUUUCUUCAGCUGUGGAGUGUUUGUGGAAUGACUUGCAGAGAGUGGUAAGGGUUGGAUACAGGACGUCUGCUUAGCGUGUGAAACCGGGAGAGGUGCACAAAGCAAGCACUAUUUUUGCUAGAAGGACUGAAAGCUGUAAAAUACUGUUAUCUUGACAGUGCUGCUUUCUCCUGAAGUAGAGUUCAAGGACUGCUCAGAGUCCAAUUUAAAACAGUUGUUUGAGAAGGGCUUUCCAGGGUGGCUUAUAUGCCAAGGCUCAUAGGUACCAUGGCUAAAAAGGAACAUUGUGAUAAUCUCUUCUGACCUCCUGAAUGACACAGAUCAUAAAAUUUCAUGCCAUAGGUUCUGUGCGUAGGCCAGAAGCCUGUGGUUGAACGUUACCUGGAAUGGGUUUCAAGGCUUAAACUUGACAAGCAUGGCUGAGUGAAGUGAAUUUCCUUGAAUAAGCUGGACCCAAGCAGUAUGAAAGUCAGCAACAUGUCAUCUGACCUGUGAAUUGCUUAAAGUGGUUGUAAUAGGGAAAACUGAGUGUUGCUGUUUAGGAAUCAUAUGUUUGUAGAAAGGGGAGGUAAUUUUUGUAAAUAUUAUUUUCUUUAAAUGCAGAAGUUUUUAGAGUAGCUAGGAUGACAUCCUAGUUGAACCAUUCCUUUUAGAGUGAUUUAUGGCUGUUUAGACAGAAUGUAGCUCUUUGUGUAUAGUGUGGCUUAUCAAAGUGUGUGCUGCUGUUGCUGACACACCCAACUUGCAGAAUUCAGGAGAUACCCUAUAAUCAUUUAUACCAUAGGCCGAGGGGACGGUAACUAGGUCCUGGUGUAAAAGUAAUUGCUUUUAUUACAAAACAUAAUGGAUUAUCAGUCUCUUGUCCUUUUCUGCCUUCAGCUGUUUGUAAAUGCUGUGAAUGGAAAUAAAUUAGAAUUUUGAAUUGUCA
rnacentral:lncRNA from 1 species